rnacentral:tRNA from 1 species
ACUUAAAUAGCUUAAAUAGAGCGUAAUAUUGAAGAUAUUAAGGUGGCAUUAGCCUUUAGGUA